AAUGAACGCUGGCGGCAGGCCUACACAUGCAAGUCGAGCGCCCCGCAAGGGGAGCGGCAAACGGGUGAGGAACACGUGGGAAUCUACCAAAUAGUUCGGAAUAGCCUCGGGAAACUGGGAGUAAUACCGGAUACGCUCUACGGAGGAAAGAUUUAUCGCUAUUUGAUGAGCCCGCGUCUGAUUAGCUAGUUGGUGAGGUAAUGGCUCACCAAGGCGACGAUCAGUAGCUGGUUUGAGAGGAUGAUCAGCCACACUGGGACUGAGAUACGGCCCAGACUCCUACGGGAGGCAGCAGUGAGGAAUAUUGGACAAUGGGCGAAAGCCUGAUCCAGCCUUGCCGCGUGUGUGAUGAAGGCCUUCGGGUUGUAAAGCACUUUGAGUGGGGAAGAUAAUGACGGUACCCACAAAACAAGCCCCGGCUAACUCCGUGCCAGCAGCCGCCGUAA
rnacentral:rRNA from 1 species